rnacentral:rRNA from 1 species
UACGUAGGGUGCGAGCGUUGUCCGGAAUUAUUGGGCGUAAAGAGCUCGUAGGCGGUCUGUCACGUCGGUCGUGAAAACUUGGGGCUUAACCCUGAGCUUGCGGUCGAUACGGGCAUGACUUGAGUUCGGCAGGGGAGACUGGAAUUCCUGGUGUAGCGGUGAAAUGCGCAGAUAUCAGGAGGAACACCGGUGGCGAAGGCGGGUCUCUGGGCCGCAACUGACGCUGAGGAACGAAAGCGUGGGUAGCGAACAGG